rnacentral:lncRNA from 1 species
GGAUGAUACUGAUGGGAUUCUCUUUUUGCAGCUAAUACUCUAAAAAUUGCUGUGAAGAAUAGAUAUGACUUUUUAUUUAUGUAUUUGCAUUUUCAGGCAGUUCUGCCUUGAGCUAAAUGGACUUGCUGUCAAACUUCAGAGUGAAUGCCAUCCAGAUACUUGCACUCAAAUGACAGCAACUGAACAAUGGAUUUUUCUUUGUGCAGCUCAUAAAACUCCAAAAGAGUGUCCUGCUAUAGACUAUACUAGACACACACUUGAUGGUGCUGCAUGUCUUCUGAAUAGCAAUAAAUAUUUUCCCAGCAGGGUUAGCAUAAAGGAAUCAUCUGUAGCGAAACUAGGAUCAGUAUGCCGUAGGAUUUACAGAAUAUUUUCACAUGCUUAUUUUCAUCAUCGGCAGAUAUUUGAUGAAUAUGAAAAUGAAACAUUUUUGUGUCAUCGGUUUACUAAGUUUGUGAUGAAAUACAAUUUGAUGUCCAAGGAUAACCUGAUUGUACCAAUUUUAGAAGAGGAAGUACAGAAUUCAGUUUCUGGGGAAAGUGAAGCAUGAAGGGAAUCAUAUGGAAAAAUGUACUGAUCAUAUAAUUAACAUUAUGUACUGUAUAUAUCAUUUUAGACACAUCAAUCAUGUAUCCAUAUUAUAGCUUCUUUGUUUAGUAUAGGUUUUUGUAUGCUGGGUUUGCCUUUUAAAAUGGGAAAUACUUUUUAAGUUAUUCAUAAGCUGUAUAUUCACCAGUGUGGCACUCAUGGUUUUUAAAUAAGAUUAGUAUUAUCUGUUUAUAAUGCCUGUUAAUAAAAGAAUUUACAGUUUGGUAAAAUUGCUGCUAAACAAUCAUUGGAUCACAAUCCUCAUCAGACAAACCCAUCUGUAAAAAAAAUGAGGGAGAGCUUGAGGUUUCACACAAGCCAUUUACUAAAGAGGUAGAAAUGUUUUCCAUUGGUUUUACCUUGAGUUUAGAUAUCCUAAAAAAUUCUGUAGUACGUAGUUUUGUCUUACCUGUUAACUUUCCCCAAUUGAGAUAAAAGUGUUUUAAAAUUCUGUUUAUAGUUUUUGAUAUCCAUAUAUAAUUAUGUGUAAUCUAAAUACAAAUGCAAAUGAAGCAUUAGUAAUACUUAAAUAAUUUUACUGUGCUACAUAAAGUAUAACAUACUUGGAAAGGAUUUACCUUUCUGCAACAACGGACUGGUACAUACAGGAUGAUCACAAUGGUAAGGCACAUAAAUUAUUUUCCCACUGGAAACCUGCCCUGUCCACCCCUUCUCAUUUCCCUUAACCUUAACUUCAAACUACUUUAGCUGAGAAGCUUUUCACCAGACUGAGUUAGUGGUGGCUUAUACCUAUUUAUAUUUGUGUUAAUUGCUUACAGAUUAUACCUCAUAUUAGCAAUUACAUUACACUACAAGAAAAUGUAUUUGCAUAGGCUCUUAUCUUUGUUUUGCAAAAUUGUUCUACUUAGAAAACAGUCCUUAAAAUAGUUUGACUCUUCCUGUUAGUAAUAUUAAUCUUUGAUUUAACCAGCUAGGCAGCAUUAAAUAGAAUUGAAGAAAUACCAUAGUAUUUAUUUUACACCCCCUCUCCCACGAAGUUUAUGUUUGGAUUACAUGCACGUGUGAGAUUAUUUGCAAUAAUUCAUAGGUUCCAAGGGUGUUGAUGAAUAGUCAUACAUUUUUUUGGACUUUGUUAUAAUUCAUUGUGGUAAGAAUGAUUGAAAUGCAGAUUUAACAAUCUUAUAAUCUAUUGAAUGCCAUUUUUGAUAAAGCACUGGAGGUCUUAUUGCCAAACUGAUUGUAAUGAGGCAGUAAGGGUGAAAACAUUGUACAUGUUGUGAAGAAAGUAUUUAAAUCCAACUUUUGAACAGAUUUAACAAACAUGAGGAACUUCUUUUUUAUUUAGAAGGAUAAUUUUGAAAUGAAGAUGAAAAUGUAUUCAUCUUAAUUGUUUUUUCAAAUUUAAGGGAAUAAUUUAUACCAUCUUUUGAGACAAGAAUGUACAGCAAAAAUAAGGGGAACAGUAGCAUACUGAGAGUGUGUGUAUAUAUAGUGUAUGCCUUUCCAAGCUUGCCAGUCUUUUUGGCUUUGAAUACGGCCCACCAGCUACAGUCAUUACUGUUCCCCAACCCACAACUAUCUUUUAAGAAGUCUUAGUUCACAGUGAAAGGAAUGAUGACUUUGAAAUUAUGGAUUUAUAUUAAUGGCACUAUAAACCAAUGGUAAUGGUAAUUUUUAAACUUGCUAAAUAUUGAGAGACUAAACUACUAAGUUAAUAAAUUAUAUAUAGCAGUGUAGCUGUUCUCUCUAGAUGGUGUCUCACAAUGGAUUUCUGUUGCUUGACUAUUUUCUUAGUGAAUAUUUAUACUAAGGUAGUGACUGAGAUUUGGUGAUCUGGCUGAGUAUUUUGAAACACAUUUUGAAUAAUAUGGCUUAGUGUUAACGGGGACUUAAAUAUGAUUUUUUUUUCUUACUCAUUUCACCUUCCCUGUACUGUAUGUUUGGAAUUGAUCAUAAAACAUCUCCAAAAGAAAAUAAUCAGUUUGUAGUCUUGCUUUUGUAUUCAUGUUGAUAAUCUUACUAAUAUUCAUGGCACUGUGAAGUUGAUUCACUAUACUAGGUAAGACCUAAGUGAAACAGUUCCUGUUUUUCCUUAAUACUGUUUUCAGAAUUUUGAAAAUGUACUUAUAUGUACAUAAAUACUACUAAAAAAUUAAUGAGCCUGGCAAACCAUUGAUUUAUAAAAGUAAGUGUUCUAAGAGGGGAACAAGACAGUUCUGUGUGAUAAGGAAGUCAGGCUCCACUUUUUGUUUGAAUUACCCUGUGUAUAUCUGAAGGUAAACUUAGGCUUUUCUUUCCAAAAGAUCAUAUAGUCAAUUCAUUCUUUUUCUCCUAUCACAUCUGGGAAAGUAGCUAACUUUUAAUUAUUUAUGUUCCCAUAAGUAACCCUUCUUUUGUGUGUAUACAUUUCCUUUUCUCUGACUUGAGAUGUCAAAUUUGGAUUU